CCUACGGGAGGCUGCAGUGAGGAAUAUUGGUCAAUGGCCGGAAGGCUGAACCAGCCAAGCCGCGUGAAGGACGAAUGUGCCAAGCAUUGUAAACUUCUUUUGUCAAGGGACAAAAUCAGGCUCGAGAGCCUGACCGAGUGUACUUGAAGAAAAAGCAUCGGCUAACUCCGUGCCAGCAGCCGCGGUAAUACGGAGGAUGCGAGCGUUAUCCGGAUUUAUUGGGUUUAAAGGGUGCGUAGGCGGACUGUUACGUCAGCGGUAAAAGCCCGGGGCUCAACCCCGGCGAGCCGUUGAAACUUGCGGUCUUGAGAUGUCGAGAGGUAUGCGGAAUGCGUGGUGUAGCGGUGAAAUGCUUAGAUAUUGCGCAGAACUCCGAUUGCGAAGGCAGCAUACCGGCGGCGAUCUGACGCUGAGGCACGAAAGCGUGGGUAUCGAACAGGAUUAGAUACCCUGGUAGUC
rnacentral:rRNA from 1 species